rnacentral:snRNA from 1 species
GUGCUCACUCCAGCAGCACAUAUACUAAAAUUGGAAUGAUACAGAGAAGAUUAGCAUGGCCCCUGUCCAAGGAUGACACACAAAUUCAUGGCAGCGUUCAUACAUCA